GACGAACGCUGGCGGCGUGCCUAACACAUGCAAGUCAACUGGCAGCAAUGCCGGUGGCGAACGGGUGAGUAACGCGUAGAUAAUCUACCCUUUAAUCAUGGAUAACCUAGUGAAAACUGGACUAAUACAGGAUGUGAUCUCGAGACGGCAUCGUUUUGGGAUUAAAGACUACGGGUCGUUAAAGGAUGAGUCUGCGUAUCAUUAGCUAGUUGGCGGGGUAACGGCCCACCAAGGCUACGAUGAUUAGCUGGUCUGAGAGGAUGAUCAGCCACACUGGGACUGAGAUACGGCCCAGACUCCUACGGGAGGCAG
rnacentral:rRNA from 1 species